GGUGACAGGUGGUGCAUGGUUGUCGUCAGCUCGUGUCGUGAGAUGUUGGGUUAAGUCCCGCAACGAGCGCAACCCUUGUCUUUAGUUGCCAUCAUUAAGUUGGGCACUCUAGAGAGACUGCCAGGGAUAACCUGGAGGAAGGGGGGGAUGACGUCAAAUCAUCAUGCCCCUUAUGCUUAGGGCUACACACGUGCUACAAUGGGUAGUACAGAGGGUUGCCAAGCCGUAAGG
rnacentral:rRNA from 1 species